UACGAAGGACCCAAGCGUUAUCCGGAUUUAUUGGGUUUAAAGGGUGCGUAGGCGGAUUAUUAAGUCAGUGGUGAAAGCCUGCAGCUUAACUGCAGAACUGCCAUUGAUACUGAUGAUCUUGAGUAUGAUUGAGGUGGGCGGAAUGUGUCAUGUAGCGGGUGAAAAUGCUUAGAUAUGACACAGAACACCGAUUGCGAAGGCAGCUCACUAAGCCAUAACUGACGCUGAUGCACGAAAGCGUGGGGGAGCAAACAGG
rnacentral:rRNA from 1 species